UGGGGAAUAUUGCGCAAUGGGCGGAAGCCUGACGCAGCGACGCCGCGUGGGGGAUGACGGCCUUCGGGUUGUAAACCUCUUUCGACCCCGACGAAGGGUUUCUGACGGUAGGGGUGGAAGAAGCACCGGCCAACUACGUGCCAGCAGCCGCGGUAACACGUAGGGUGCGAGCGUUGUCCGGAAUUAUUGGGCGUAAAGAGCUCGUAGGCGGUGUGUCGCGUCGGCCGUGAAAACUUGCAGCUUAACUGUGGGCGUGCGGUCGAUACGGGCAUCACUGGAGUUCGGCAGGGGAGACUGGAAUUCCUGGUGUAGCGGUGAAAUGCGCAGAUAUCAGGAGGAACACCGGUGGCGAAGGCGGGUCUCUGGGCCGAUACUGACGCUGAGGAGCGAAAGCGUGGGGAGCGAACAGGAUUAGAUACCCCCGUAGUCC
rnacentral:rRNA from 1 species